rnacentral:rRNA from 1 species
GAGAUGUUGGGUUAAGUCCCGCAACGAGCGCAACCCUUGUCUUUAGUUGCCAUCAUUAAGUUGGGCACUCUAGAGAGACUGCCAGGGAUAACCUGGAGGAAGGCGGGGAUGACGUCAAAUCAUCAUGCCCCUUAUGCUUAGGGCUACACACGUGCUACAAUGGGUAGUACAGAGGGUUGCCAAGCCGUAAGGUGGAGCUAAUCCCUUAA